rnacentral:rRNA from 1 species
UACGUAGGGGGCGAGCGUUGUCCGGAUUUAUUGGGCGUAAAAGAGCUCGUAGGCGGUUCGGUAAGUCGGAUGUGAAAUCUCCACGCUCAACGUGGAGGGGCCAUUCGAUACUGCCGUGACUCGAGUCCGGUAGGGGAGUGUGGAAAUUCCCGGUGUAGCGGUGAAAUGCGUAGAUAUUGGGAGGAACACCAGUGGCGAAGGCGGCUCACUGGACCGGUACUGACGCUGAGGUACGAAGGCAUGGGUAUCGAUCGGGA